rnacentral:tRNA from 1 species
GCGGGCAUGGCGGAACUGGUAGACGCGCAAGACUAAGGAUCUUGUGACCGUUAUAGGUCGUGGAAGUUCGAGUCUUCUUGCCCGCA